AUUGAACGCUGGCGGCAGGCCUAACACAUGCAAGUCGAACGGUAACAGGAAGCAGCUUGCUGCUUUGCUGACGAGUGGCGGACGGGUGAGUAAUGUCUGGGAAACUGCCCGAUGGAGGGGGAUAACUACUGGAAACGGUAGCUAAUACCGCAUAACGUCGCAAGACCAAAGAGGGGGACCUUAGGGCCUCUUGCCAUCAGAUGUGCCCAGAUGGGAUUAGCUAGUAGGUGGGGUAACGGCUCACCUAGGCGACGAUCCCUAGCUGGUAUGAGAGGAUGACCAGCCACACUGGAACUGAGACACGGUCCAGACUCCUACGGGAGGCAGCAGUGGGGAAUAUUGCACAAUGGGCGCAAGCCUGAUGCAGCCAUGCCGCGUGUAUGAAGAAGGCCUUCGGGUUGUAAAGUACUUUCAGCGGGGAGGAAGGGAGUAAAGUUAAUACCUUUGCUCAUUGACGUUACCCGCAGAAGAAGCACCGGCUAACUCCGUG
rnacentral:rRNA from 1 species